rnacentral:rRNA from 1 species
UUGAACUGGAGAGUUUGAUUCUGGCUCAGAUUGAACGCUGGCGGCGUGCUUAACACAUGCAAGUCGAACGCGAACGGGGCUUCGGCCCCAAGUAGAGUGGCGCACGGGUGAGUAACGCG